GCUCUGUACAAUUGUAGAGUUAUGUAAAUAAGUCCAAACAGAUGAGUUAUUUCCUGAAAAUACAUGUUUGUAAUCAGAACAAAGCCACUGACUGAUCUACAACUAGGGACUAUUCAUUCAAAGAAACGUGGCUGUAGUCAAAGAGUGGGGGCAGAACUACAUAUCCCAGCAUUCCACACUAUGGCACCUUGGAUGGGUGCAAAGUUCACUGUCACGUUGACAGUGGAAGGAUAAAGAGUUUAUGGGUGUGUGUAUUUGAGAGGAUCUGUUUUCCCUCUAACAUCGAAACUGAAGGGCCCUUGGGACGUUUGUGGUAGGGAGCAGUUUGGAUCCGCCUGUAACAACCCCUCUGCUAAGAAAUCCCCGCUAAGAGCAGCUGCUGCAAUCCACACAAUUGGCUCAGGGGAUGGUCUCCAUGAGCUGGUUGAGACUAAUCAAGCUAUUCGGACCAGAAAGAAGAUAGCAGGCAUCUGUAUGACCUAAUCAGGAAGUGUAACAAUCUAGUCAAGAAACCAAAACACCAAACGAUCAAGAGAAUGGCAGAAAACGGAGACCAGGAUCCUCACCGGACCUACCCGGCCCAAGAAUUGAUGAGAAGAGAGGAGGAGAAGACUCCCCAGGUCCAAGAAGGUGAAAAUGUAUUGAGGACCCACCAAGAAAAGAUGAUUGAAGAUUCUGGUUCUGUCCAACUGAAAACCUCCCCAGAAAUAGAAACACUAGGUCCCCAAGAUACAAACAGUGUGUCUGGAAGCCCCUCUGCAGUAAAUGAAGAGGAUUCCUCAGAGGGAAGGCCAGUGAGUUCUGAUGGAAUUUCUCUGAAAACAAACACUGAGGAGUCUCCAGGCCUUCUGAACCUUAACACAAUGAGUUUACCAGACUAUUCCCUGGACAAAGACAUGGUAUCUUCCUUAGGUGAAAGGAAAACACAUUCAGUGCCAGUUGCUCUGGAGGAGAAAAUCAUAGGGGAACCCCCAACAGAAGAGGAGAACAGUGUACCCACCCCCAGAGGAGAGCCACAAGAUACCAUAAUCCAAGAAACCACACUUCCAUCUGCAGACUUCCUGGAACCAAUGAAAGAGAGUAUCUCAAACAAGGAGGGAGAGAGACCCCAAGACACAGCAAGGAAGAGACACUCGACUGAAGCGGUGAAGUCAGAGGCUGAAGCCCAUCCACAAGAGACAGAGACCAGGCAGGAAGCAACGCCAGAGAAGAAGUUCUUUUUAGGAAAUGGUCUUGCCUCUCCUGCAGCUUCACUGGGAGUCCUGGUAGUUGUGGUUUGUUUCAGCAUAUAUUGCAAUGGCUACUAUACUUCCCAGCCCCACCAUAUGCCAAAAAAUCCAGCCUUGGAGGCCUUCUUGUCCAGGUUUAACCAGCUGAAGGACAGCUUUCCGGGCCAGACCUCUUACCUGUGGGUUAGAGGGCAAAAAUUAUUGCAGAGGCAUCUCAACACUUCCAGUCAUAGAGAGCCAGCUAUUUUAAUCUUUACUGCUGCCCGUGAAGGUGAAGAAACCUUAAAGUGCCUGAGCAACCGUAUUGCAGAUGCCUACUCCACCUCACUCCGUGCCAGUACCAUCCAGGUUGACGGGGCAGGUAAAGCCACACUCAACAGCGACAAAGCUAAACUGGAGGUAGAUUAUGAGCUGAGCACCGGCUUUGAGGAGGGCAAGAGGGCCGCAGUGGUGCACCGGUUCGAGUCGCUACCAGCUGGCUCCACCUUGAUCUUUUACAAGUACUGUGACCAUGAGAGCGCGGCCUUCAAAGACGUGGCACUGCUCUUAACGGUCCUGCUGGAGGAAGAGAAGCUGGACGCUAAUAUAAACCUACAGCAAGUCGAGGAGAGAGUCCGUGAUUUCCUCUGGGCCAAAUUCACCAAUGCCAACACUCCCAGCUCCUACAACCACAUGGACACCGACAAGCUGAGUGGGUUGUGGAGCCGCAUCUCCCACCUGGUACUGCCCAUCCAUCCAGUAAAAGCCAUAGAGAACAAUGGCUGUUCUUUCCAAACCAAACCAUAGUGGUGAAUGAAAUCAGCUUCCAGGACAGCCAAAGCCUUUGUGUAGAGGAGAGGGGACCUUUCACCUGCACACCUGCUCCCUCCCAUACAGAAGGGGCAGUCGUAGCCACCGCUGUAGCAGUGUAUCCCCAGAUCCUGUGGAGGUUCAGUCUGGAGAACAAGAUGGAAGCUGGAUGGGGCCAGGAGGAAUUUGGCAAGGGCUUGCUUUUCUCAGGGAGAGUUCCUCCCCCACCAGAGCUCUGGGAAGGCUGAUUGGCCCAUGGUUUGUAAUGUUACUGGUAACAGCAAAGGGACAUAAUAAUCUUGUAAUUCACAGUUGCCUCUAGGUCUCUCUAUAAAUAGCCUUUAUGAUUAACUUUUAGUUCCCUAGACAUUUGUUAAUAGAGGUAUUUAUUUCAGCCCCUAUUGGACAUGUUGCAAUGGGAUCUCUGCAUAGGGGGAGCUCACCUUCUCACCAGCCUGGGGGAGCAGCCACUCAGAGUAAUAGGAGUGCUUCAUAUGGCUGGGGAACUGAGUGCAGUGAUGGCUGGUAACGAGCUAAUACUUUAUGCACUGUUUGAAAGCUUAUGAAUCCCCAGCUUGGUGCACACCAAUGCAUUAUUGCACAUCAUCUUCUGUACAUAACAUAGGAAGAGCUUGAGCCACUCGGGGGCAUGUUGCUUCCAUAGGUACUGAUGCAUUCUGGAAAGUGUCUAGAGAAGAGCUACUAAAGUCAUGCUGGAGGGGACUCAGGGUACUAGGCUAAAGCUCUAAAGGCCCCAAUCCUGCAAUGAGAUCUCUGCAGGCAGACUCCCUGCACCUGUGUGGGUGCAGAGAGUCUGAAUGCACAGAUCACAUUGCAAGAGCAAGGCCCAAGUCUCUUCCGGUUGGAGAAGAGGCUGUGGCAAGAAGUGGAGCUUACUUCCGAGUUUAACUGCCCAAAUGGAAGACAUGUUGUGAUCGGCGCAAUCUAUAUGAGGGCUGAAGGACCGAGCAAUCAAGGUGAACUGCCCAAAACAGGCCUUACAAAGACAUAGGCUUUAAUUAAGCAACAACAGGAAAAUGCUUGGACGCUCUGAGAUGGGUAACUUUGUAAAAUCCCCUCCAAUGACUGUACACCAAUGCUGCCUGUGCCGCACACCAGUGGUGCCUUGCAAACAGAAUAGAUUGGAUGUGGUUUUUCAGCACGACUGGCCAUUUCAAGACAUGUCUUGGGUAGUUGUGUUGCUCAUUUUUCCAAAGUAGUUGGCAUUUUAUAUGUGAUCCAAUUCUUGUAGUGAAAAGCACGUGCUUUUUUCUCCCCUGCAGAAUGGAAAUAGGGUUUUACUACAGAAGGUGGGCUGGUGUUCUGAAGUGUUCCUUAGGACACAAUCAACAUUCUAACACUCAGCUAGAUCAGGUUUUAAGGAGAAUAAUUAAUAACUGUGGCUGUAAAAAGUCUCUCUGCGCUGACAUUCAGCAAACCAAGGGGUCCAGUCCAAAGAACAUUUUUGUACAAAAUUUGGGGUGGGGGAAUUUGGCUGCUUUUCAUUUUUAAUCAAAGAAGUGCUCAACAUGGAAGCACUUUCUUGUUUUUCUGCGUGGCUUGGGAUUUAUUGUUUGCUUUGACUUAAUAAUCAGCAAGAGAUCAGUCUAUGGUGCAAGUUCAAUGAUUUGAAAAAAUAUUAACAUCUAAAAGUCAAGUGCCAUGCACAGACAGUUUUAUGUAUUCCGUUUCUACUGCAUUGUCUUCUGUGCAUGGAAAGGAAUGAUUCUCAGGUACAUAAGGCAGUGUGGACAAUAUGGUCCAUGAGCACUAACCAGUCGAGCUAUUGCAGUGUAGAGAAAUUUUAUGCUUUUUUAAAGAAAAACUUCCUUGUGCUUCUUAAAGUAGUUUUUAAAUAAAUAAA